rnacentral:rRNA from 1 species
CAUGCAAGUCGAACGAGAGAGAAGGAGCUUGCUUCUUCGAUCGAGUGGCGAACGGGUGAGUAACGCGUGAGGAACCUGCCUCAAAGAGGGGGACAACAGUUGGAAACGACUGCUAAUACCGCAUAAGCCCACGGAUCGGCAUCGAUCUGAGGGAAAAGGAGCAAUCCGCUUUGAGAUGGCCUCGCGUCCGAUUAGCUAGUUGGUGAGGUAACGGCCCACCAAGGCGACGAUCGGUAGCCGGACUGAGAGGUUGAACGGCCACAUUGGGACUGAGACACGGCCCAGACUCCUACGGGAGGCAGCAGUGGGGAAUAUUGCACAAUGGGGGAAACCCUGAUGCAGCGACGCCGCGUGGAGGAAGAAGGUCUUCGGAUUGUAAACUCCUGUUGUUGAGGAAGAUAAUGACGGUACUCAACAAGGAAGUGACGGCUAACUACGUGCCAGCAGCCGCGGUAAAACGUAGGUCACAAGCGUUGUCCGGAAUUACUGGGUGUAAAGGGAGCGCAGGCGGGAAGACAAGUUGGAAGUGAAAUCUAUGGGCUCAACCCAUAAACUGCUUUCAAAACUGUUUUUCUUGAGUAGUGCAGAGGUAGGCGGAAUUCCCGGUGUAGCGGUGGAAUGCGUAGAUAUCGGGAGGAACACCAGUGGCGAAGGCGGCCUACUGGGCACCAACUGACGCUGAGGCUCGAAAGUGUGGGUAGCAAACAGGAUUAGAUACCCUGGUAGUCCACACCGUAAACGAUGAUUACUAGGUGUUGGAGGAUUGACCCCUUCAGUGCCGCAGUUAACACAAUAAGUAAUCCACCUGGGGAGUACGACCGCAAGGUUGAAACUCAAAGGAAUUGACGGGGGCCCGCACAAGCAGUGGAGUAUGUGGUU